rnacentral:rRNA from 1 species
AAGAGACAGCAGCAGCCGCGGUAAUACGUAGGUGGCAAGCGUUGUCCGGAAUUAUUGGGCGUAAAGGGCUCGCAGGCGGUUUCUUAAGUCUGAUGUGAAAGCCCCCGGCUCAACCGGGGAGGGUCAUUGGAAACUGGGAAACUUGAGUGCAGAAGAGGAGAGUGGAAUUCCAUGUGUAGCGGUGAAAUGCGUAGAGAUGUGGAGGAACACCAGUGGCGAAGGCGACUCUCUGGUCAGUAACUGACGCUGAGGAGCGAAAGCGUGGGGAGCGAACAGGAUUAGAUACCCCAGUAGUCCCUGUCUCUUAUAC